GAUGAACGCUGGCGGCGUGCCUAAUACAUGCAAGUCGAGCGAACGGACGAGAAGCUUGCUUCUCUGAUGUUAGCGGCGGACGGGUGAGUAACACGUGGAUAACCUACCUAUAAGACUGGGAUAACUUCGGGAAACCGGAGCUAAUACCGGAUAAUAUUUUGAACCGCAUGGUUCAAAAGUGAAAGACGGUCUUGCUGUCACUUAUAGAUUGAUCCGCGCUGCAUUAGCUAGUUGGUAAGGUAACGGCUUACCAAGGCAACGAUGCAUAGCCGACCUGAGAGGGUGAUCGGCCACACUGGAACUGAGACACGGUCCAGACUCCUACGGGAGGCAGCAGUAGGGAAUCUUCCGAAAUGGGCGAAAGCCUGACGGAGCAACGCCGCGUGAGUGAUGAAGGUCUUCGGAUCGUAAAACUCUGUUAUUAGGGAAGAACAUAUGUGUAAGUAACUGUGCACAUCUUGACGGUACCUAAUCAGAAAGCCACGGCUAACUACGUG
rnacentral:rRNA from 1 species